GACGAACGCUGGCGGCGUGCUUAACACAUGCAAGUCGAACGGUGAAGCGCCUUCCUUUUUGGUGGGUGUGGAUGAGUGGCGAACGGGUGACUAACACGUGAGUAACCUGCCCCCUUCUUCUGGAUAACCGCACGAAAGUGUGGCUAAUACGGGAAAUCCUGGGUCUGUCGCAUGAUGGGUCUGUGGAAGAUCUUGUUUCGGGUGGGGAUGGGCCCGUGGCCUCUCAGGGUGGUGGUGGGGUGAUGGCCUACCAAGGCGGUGACGGGUAGCCGGCCGGAGAGGGUGGGCGGUGGGACUGGGAGGGAGACACGGCCGAGAGUGAGACGGAAGGCAGCAGUGGGGAAUAGGGCACAAGGGGCGAGAGCCUGAUGCAGCGGGGCGGCGUGAGGGAUGGACAACGCCGGGUGGAGAACCACUGUCGCCGGGGAGGAAGGUCUGUUUCGUAUGUAGGAGGAUUGACGGUACCUGGAGAAGAAGCCCCGGCUAACUCCGUG
rnacentral:rRNA from 1 species